rnacentral:tRNA from 1 species
AUUGUUAGCUCAGCUGGUAGAGCAACUGACUCUUAAUCAGUGGGUCUAGGGUUCGAAUCCCU